rnacentral:rRNA from 1 species
CAUAGCGACUAUCGUGGCAUAUCAAUAAGCGGAGGAAAAGAAACUAACAAGGAUUCCCUUAGUAACGGCGAGUGAAGCGGGAAGAGCUCAAAUUUGAAAUCUUCAAGGUUUUACCUUGACGAAUUGUAGUUUAAAGAAGUGUUUUCUGCUAGUGGAGUUUGGUAAAAGUUCUUUGGAAUAGGACAUCAUAGAGGGUGAGAAUCCCGUAUUUGGAUCCAUUAUUUCCAGCUGUGUGAUACACUUUCAAAGAGUCGGAUUGUUUGGGAAUGCAGUCCAAAAUGGGUGGUAAAUUUCAUCUAAAGCUAAAUAUUGGCGAGAGACCGAUAGCGAACAAGUACCGUGAGGGAAAGAUGAAAAGAACUUUGAAAAGGAGAGUUAAACAGUACGUGAAAUUGUCAAAAGGGAAGCGUUUGACACCAGUGUUGUUUUCUCGAAAAUCAAUUAAAAAAUGGCCGGGAUUUUGUGUUGUAUUGACCUUAUAAGCUUUCUGCACUCUUUUUCUUAUCUUUUUUAAUGCACUUUUCGUUUAACAAGUCAACAUCAAUUUCUUUUGUUGUAAAAGAGGUCAUUGGAAGGUGGCUUUUCUUUCGGAGAAAAGUGUUUAUAGCCUUUGAUCUCUGCAAUCCGGAGAGACUGAGGUCUGCAGCGUAGACUCUUCGGGGUUAGAUACAGUUUGUGCUAAGCUAUAGCUUUUAUAGACAACUUGUUGACUAUAGUUUAGCCUUGUGGCUUACUCGCUUAUGCCUAUUUUACCUACGCUUAGGAUGUUGACGAGACUGUCGAUCUC